rnacentral:misc_RNA from 1 species
AAGAGGAUAGUUGGAACUUAUGGUUAUAUGCCUCCAGAGUAUGCAAUAGAUGGACACUUCUCUUUAAAAUCUGACGUCUUCAGCUUUGGUGUUAUAGUAUUAGAGAUAUUGAGUGGUCAGAAAAACCGAGGAUUCUUCCAUCCAGACCACAAACUCAAUCUUCUGGGGCAUACAUGGAAGUUAUGGAGUGAAGGGAGGGC